UACGAAGGGUGCUAGCGUUGUUCGGAAUUAUUGGGCGUAAAGCGUGCGUAGGCGGUUUAGUAAGUCGAAUGUGAAAGCCCAGAGCUUAACUUUGGAAUUGCAUUCGAAACUACUAGACUAGAGUAUGGCGGGGGAUAGUGGUAUUCUUAGUGUAGGGGUGAAAUCCGUAGAUAUUAAGAGGAACACCAGUGGCGAAAGCGGCUAUCUACACCAUUACUGACGCUGAGGCACGAAAGCGUGGGGAGCAAACAGG
rnacentral:rRNA from 1 species